GACGAACGCUGGCGGCGUGCCUAAUACAUGCAAGUUGAGCGCUGAAGGUUGGUACUUGUACCGACUGGAUGAGCAGCGAACGGGUGAGUAACGCGUGGGGAAUCUGCCUUUGAGCGGGGGACAACAUUUGGAAACGAAUGCUAAUACCGCAUAAAAACUUUAAACACAAGUUUUAAGUUUGAAAGAUGCAAUUGCAUCACUCAAAGAUGAUCCCGCGUUGUAUUAGCUAGUUGGUGAGGUAAAGGCUCACCAAGGCGAUGAUACAUAGCCGACCUGAGAGGGUGAUCGGCCACAUUGGGACUGAGACACGGCCCAAACUCCUACGGGAGGCAGCAGUAGGGAAUCUUCGGCAAGGGACGAAAGUCUGACCGAGCAACGCCGCGUGAGUGAAGAAGGUUGUCGGAUCGUAAAACUCUGUUGGUAGAGAAGAACGUUGGUGAGAGUGGAAAGCUCAUCAAGUGACGGUAACUACCCAGAAAGGGACGGCUAACUACGUG
rnacentral:rRNA from 1 species